rnacentral:lncRNA from 1 species
UGUAGUCAAAUAAUUUGGAAUAAUCUAAUCCGAGAAUUAUAUAUAUAUAAUUUCAAAAAUCCUUUUCUUCUUCAAUAAUUCAAUUGAAAAUCAAAUAUUAUUCUGUACACGUCUUUGUUGGAAGAUAAUAACAUAAAAAUAAAAAAAAUAAACUUCUGUAACUUCAUAAUUGUUAUAUUGCUUUUAUAUACCUAUAUUCUUUCUUGACGUUUUAGUUAGUCAUGUGUGCCUAAAAGUCAUCAAACAAUAUAUCAAACAACGUUUUUGACUCUUAGCUGUCUGUUUAGUUGGUUCGAUCGAUCUUGACGCCAGCCGGCAAGCUAGCACAGGCACCGUGGAAGUCUAGCUACUGUAGCUGCUACAGAACUGCAGAAGUGAGUAAUCAUAUAUCACUAUAUUUUAUUUCCUAUUUAUUUGUAUAUAUAGAAAGGGAUCGACGGACGGAUUCUCGGAUUAAUUAAGUACGUACGUACGUAUAUACAUAGCAUACCAUAGCAUUGCUCGAUGGAGUUUGCGGCAACUCAAGAUAUGAGAUCAAUGGAACACAUGUUCAACAAGAUUGUCACCCCAAGCGAUGUCGGGAAGUUG